UGGUCUCACAAUGGUGCGAAGAACUGAAACUGGACAUUCAGUAAACAUUUCUCUGAGGCAGAGCUGCUCUGGAUGCACAAAUUAUCUCACUGGCUCAGUUGAACUUUUCUAAAAAAGGUGAUUCUCUGGCCCCGCCCACUGGUGUUUAAGUCAACCAAUGAGAUUAUUUCUGUCUCCAGAGCAGAAAUGUUUGAGGAACCUGAUGUUGAGGAGAAGGGCUGUGCAGCAGAGAGGCUGUUUAGUGUUUUCAUUCUACUGCAGUGGAAGAACAUUGCUCAUCUGCUGUCUGUCUGGCUUUAACAACUCCAAAGACAUGUUGCUUUAUCUCUUUUUACUUUUCUCUCACUUUAUAGCCCUGGGUUCCAUGAACAGCAUAAAGCCAGAAAGUCCUGAACAACAUGUUGCAGAUGGAGGAAACAUCAACCUGAACUGUAAAUAUGAGGGUGUUAUCAACAAUAUCCAGUGGUACCGACAAUACCAGAGAUCCAGACCAGAGUUCCUGCUCUACAUCACAGAGGGAGGAUUGAUUCAUCCAAGUGAUUCUGAUUUCUCAGCUCACAUUAACAAAACAGAGAAACGUGUCAAUCUGGAGAUCUCCUCUGCUGCAGUGACUGACUCUGCUGUGUACUACUGUGCUCUGCAGCCCACAGUGACAGGAAACACCAAGACUCUGUACAAAAACCUUCGGGGCAAAGACAACAGAGUACUCCACAACGUCCACUAGAGGGAGUCACAC